CUCUGUCCAAUUAGCAGCAUGGGAAUUAGCACUGCUCGAAAUUCGCUACUCCCCACCGUAUUCCCCUCUGAGAGUGCUGAACUUCAGUGCUCAAUUUUCUCUCUUUCUCUCUCUCUUUUUUAAACAGCACCACGAAGAUUGAGUGCAUAGGAAGAUAUUAGAAAAGCACAAUUAAUACUGAAGUCAGGAGAUGCAGCUGUUAAAUUCCUAGCGAUAUUAACGCAGAGGUAUUUCAGUUGAAAUCCUGGAAGAAAGAAAAAAAAAAAAAACCCAAAAAAACCCACCACACCAAAAUGGAGGGCUACCAAAUAUUGGACUUUUCCAUGGGAAACUGUAUGUAGCAUCUGGUACCUAAUCUGGAAAGCCCAUCAAGGAGUGGUUAAUGGGUCUCACCUACACAUUUUCUUCAAAAGAUCUUGCUGACAUAUUUACUUCUGGCAGAAGCUGCCCUGCAUUUGGAAAUGCACCUAUUUGUUCCUUUCUCCCUUUCCACCUUGCCUUGUCAGUCUCCUUGUGAACUGCCUCCAGCCCCUGUUCCUGGAGCAGGUCAGAACUUGUUGCUCUCACCUCUCCUCUCACCUCUUCUGCCCCUGGAAGCUUGAGGAGCCGUUGUAAGCACGCUGU